rnacentral:rRNA from 1 species
AUGCGUGAUCAGGUCGGCAUCGACCUGGACGGCUUCCCCCUCGACCACGAGUUUCCGGACGACUACGGGCUAGAGGAAGAGGACGAGUGCGACAUCGACGUGGAGCCUUUGUUCGAGGACGAGCUCGCCAACCAAGCCGCCGGUCCUAAGCUGAAGCGCAAGAGCAAGCGUACGAAGGCGUAUACGGCGGCCGAGGACAAACUUCUUUGCGAGUGUUGGCGAGACAUUGGACAAGACCCCAAGAUGGGCGCCGAGCAAAAGCAUUCAACCUUUUGGAUUCGUGUCCACCGAGAUUUUCAUGAGCGCAAGAAGUUUCCGCCUUACCAAUUUGUGAGCACGCGCGGGUGGGUCUCCAUUUCCAAGCGGUGGAGGGUGAUCCAACAAGAGUGCAACAAGUUUUGCGCCACUCUUGAGAGCGUCAAGGCCCGCCCCGUGAGCGGCAUCGGCAUGCAAGACAUGGUAUGCUAG